rnacentral:rRNA from 1 species
UACAGAGGUCUCAAGCGUUGUUCGGAUUCAUUGGGCGUAAAGGGUGCGUAGGUGGUGCUGUAAGUCAGGUGUGAAAUCUCGGGGCUCAACCCCGAAACUGCACUUGAUACUGCGGUGCUCGAGGACUGGAGAGGAGAUUGGAAUUCAUGGUGUAGCAGUGAAAUGCGUAGAUAUCAUGAGGAAGACCAGUGGCGAAGGCGGAUCUCUGGACAGUUCCUGACACUGAGGCACGAAGGCCAGGGGAGCAAACGGG